UUACGGCCAUAUCAUGUUGAAACACCAGUUUUUGCUCGAUCACCGAAGUAAAGAGAAGUUGAGCCUGGUCAGUACUCAGAGGGGUGACCGCUGGAGAAUAUCAGGUGCUGUAAG